GAUGAAGAACGUAGCGAAAUGCGAUAAGUAAUGUGAAUUGCAGAAUUCAGUGAAUCAUCGAAUCUUUGAACGCACAUUGGGCCCGCUAGUAUUCUGGCGGGCAUGCCUGUCCGAGCGUCAUUUCAACCCUCAAGCCCCCGGGCUUGGUGUUGGGGAUCGGCGAGCCUCCGCGCCCGCCGUCCCCUAAAUCUAGUGGCGGUCUCGCUGUAGCUUCCUCUGCGUAGUAGCACACCUCGCACUGGGAAACAGCGCGGCCACGCCGUUAAACCCCCAACUUCUGAACGUUUGACCUCGGAUCAGGUAGGAAUACCCGCUGAACUUAAGCAUAUCAAUAAGCGGAGGA
rnacentral:misc_RNA from 1 species